GCAAGUCUCAAAUCUUGGCUGGUCAUCUCUAACAAAAGACCAAUUUAAAAUGGUAACAGGUCCUGUAAGCAUUCCCUUCAUUGGACGCUUGCUCAUGCUCUGUGCUCGUGAAGACCAGAAGACAGUCAUUGGUUUUGGGCGACUGACAUCACCGUAGAUUAUUGGUGGCUUAACACAGCGAGAUCCAUAAGAUUGAACCCAU
rnacentral:misc_RNA from 1 species